GAGAAAGAGAGAGAGACUAACUCUCGGUCGUUCAGUCGACGGAUAACAUUCGGCGUGAGUCAAGCUUGUCUUCGUGAAGAAGACGAGACACCAUAAGAAGAAAGGAAGGAAGAGAAGAAAGGAUGGGAAGAAAGGAUGAGAGAACCUUUUGUCGAAAUAAACGAUUGGCUUGCGAUCAUCGAUAUAACGAUAAGAAGAAUAAGAGAAAGAGAUAGAGAAGGAAAAGAUAGAUUGGGAUCGGUAUCGUUUCGAUAUUAAAUCAAAUGUUAGUGUUCUCUUUCUUUCGUUCUUUAUUUUUCUUUCUCUUUUUCAUUUCUCUCUGAAGAAGAAGAAGAAGAAGAAGAAGAAGAAGAAGAAGAAGAAGAAGAAGAAGAAGAAAAAGAAGAAGAAAAAGGAGAAGAAGGAAAAGAGGAACCGCUCGCGUCGUUUUUUCGACCUGAGGUGGUUACAUCGCCAUGAGAAGGAAGAUUACAAAGCGGUCCUGCACGAGCGCCGAAUUGAAAUUGAUAGCCACUACGGUUUCGCUACCACGCGCAGACGGGGAACACUGAAAACGGGGUGUCGAAAAGAGAGCAAACACGAAGAGGGAGAAAAGAAAAGAAGGAAGAGCAGAGAACGAGAGAGAGAGAGAGAGAGAGAGAGAGAGAGAGAGGAAGAGAGAGAGAGAGAGAAA